rnacentral:rRNA from 1 species
UACGUAGGGUGCGAGCGUUAAUCGGAAUUACUGGGCGUAAAGCGUGCGCAGGCGGUUCGUUGUGUCGGUGGUGAAAGCCCCGGGCUUAACCUGGGAAUGGCCAUGGAAACUGGCGAACUGGAGUGUGGCAGAGGGGGGUGGAAUUCCGCGUGUAGCAGUGAAAUGCGUAGAUAUCUGGAGGAACACCGGUGGCGAAGGCGGCAUCCUGGACCGGUAUUGACGCUGAGGCGCGAAAGCCAGGGGAGCGAACGGG